rnacentral:rRNA from 1 species
UACGAAGGGGGCUAGCGUUGCUCGGAUUGACUGGGCGUAAAGGGCGCGUAGGCGGUUCGUACAGUCAGACGUGAAAUUCCUGGGCUCAACCUGGGGGCUGCGUUUGAUACGUGCGGACUUGAGUGCGGAAGAGGGUCGUGGAAUUCCCAGUGUAGAGGUGAAAUUCGUAGAUAUUGGGAAGAACACCGGUGGCGAAGGCGGCAUCCUGGACCAACACUGACGCUGAGUGAGCGAAAGCCAGGGGAGCAAACGGG